rnacentral:rRNA from 1 species
AUUGAACGCUGGCGGCAUGCUUUACACAUGCAAGUCGAACGGUAACAGGCCUUCGGGUGCUGACGAGUGGCGAACGGGUGAGUAAUGCAUCGGAACGUGCCCAGAGGUGGGGGAUAACGCAGCGAAAGCUGUGCUAAUACCGCAUGUGAUCUGAGGAUGAAAGCGGGGGACCAGGCAGCAAUGUUUGGCCUCGCGCCUUUGGAGCGGCCGAUGUCAGAUUAGGUAGUUGGUGGGGUAAAGGCCUACCAAGCCGACGAUCUGUAGCUGGUCUGAGAGGACGACCAGCCACACUGGGACUGAGACACGGCCCAGACUCCUACGGGAGGCAGCAGUGGGGAAUUUUGGACAAUGGGCUCAAGCCUGAUCCAGCAAUGCCGCGUGCGGGAAGAAGGCCUUCGGGUUGUAAACCGCUUUUGUACGGAACGAAAAGGCUCUGGCUAAUACCUGGGGCUGAUGACGGUACCGUAAGAAUAAGCACCGGCUAACUACGUG